rnacentral:rRNA from 1 species
GGGAAUCUACCUUUUGCUACGGGAUAGCUCCGGGAAACUGGAAUUAAUACCGUAUGUGCCCUUCGGGGGAAAGAUUUAUCGGCAAAGGAUGAGCCCGCGUUGGAUUAGCUAGUUGGUGGGGUAAAGGCCUACCAAGGCGACGAUCCAUAGCUGGUCUGAGAGGAUGAUCAGCCACAUUGGGACUGAGACACGGCCCAAACUCCUACGGGAGGCAGCAGUGGGGAAUAUUGGACAAUGGGCGCAAGCCUGAUCCAGCCAUGCCGCGUGAGUGAUGAAGGUCUUAGGAUUGUAAAGCUCUUUCACCGGGGACGAUAAUGACGGUACCCGGAGAAGAAGCCCCGGCUAACUUCGUGCCAGCAGCCGCGGUAAUACGAAGGGGGCUAGCGUUGUUCGGAAUUACUGGGCGUAAAGCGCACGUAGGCGGAUAUUUAAGUCAGGGGUGAAAUCCCGGGGCUCAACCCCGGAACUGCCUUUGAUACUGGGUAUCUUGAGUGUGGUAGAGGUGAGUGGAAUUGCGAGU